rnacentral:lncRNA from 13 species
UAAAUAGUGUUGGGAAAACUGCAUAUCCACAUAUAAAAGAAACUAGACCUGUAUCUCUUGCCAUAUACAAAAAUCAAAUCAAAAUGGUUUAAAGACUUAAAUCUAAAACCUCAAACUAUGAAUCUACUGUGAGAAAACAUUAGGGAAACUCUCCAGGACAUCGGUCUGGGUCUUGAGCAAUACCCCACAGAUAGAGGUAACCAAAGCAAAAAUGGACAAAUCGGAUCACAUCAAGUUAAAAGAUUCUGCACAGCAAAGGAUACAAUAAACAAAGUGAAGAAACAACCCAAAGAAUGGGAGAAAAUUUUUGCAAACUAUGCAUCAGAAAAGGAAUUAGUAACCAGAAUAUAUGAGGAGAUAAGCUCUUCAUAUGCCUUUUAACUAUUCCUGUUGAGCUCAAUUUAAAAUAUGUGGUUCUUUUCUGUGAAAUUGAAUCCCUAUCUUUCAGUGUAGUGACUGGUGGAAAAACUGGAAGGAGACUUUAAUGAAGAAUCUACUCAUAAGAUUGUGGGCAGAGUUUAGAGAAACCAACAAAGGAUGGUGCUGUAUCCCUGGGCUUGCCUUACUGAAUCGCCUUUACUACCCUACACCCUUAGGGCACAAAGAGAAGGUGUCACCAGAACCCAGAGAAGGUACCUGCAUACUGAGAGCCACUUAACAGAAGCCCUCAGAAGUGAACAUGGUACAAGAUGUUCUGAAGGAACAACUCUUGCUGCUGCUAAAAACACAGCACACCACUCCCAAAAGCUGCAUCCUGUACAGUUUGAAUGUUGUGAGUACUUAGAAGCUCUUUUCGUGAUGAAAGCCCUUGCUGAAUUUUGAGUUUGUGUUUUUGAAUUUAACCAAAUAAGUGGAAGACUGCAAAAGCAAAGUUACCUGAAUGACAAGAUGCACUUUGUUAAAACUGAAUCAGUGUGAUUUAGUUGUAUUUACAUGGAUACUAAAAAUGUACUCCAUGUUACUAUAUUUUAGGAAAACAAAAACACGCAACACACCAGUAAUCUGGGAGCCUUCUAGCAUUUUAUUCCCUAAAAUGAAGUAGGACAAUAAAACUUUCUUUGAAUAGGACUUAAUUUACA